rnacentral:rRNA from 1 species
GCUUAACACAUGCAAGUCGAGGGGCAGCAUUUUAGUUUGCUUGCAAACUGAAGAUGGCGACCGGCGCACGGGUGAGUAACACGUAUCCAACCUGCCGAUAACUCCGGAAUAGCCUUUCGAAAGAAAGAUUAAUACCGGAUAGCAUACGAAUAUCGCAUGAUAUUUUUAUUAAAGAAUUUCGGUUAUCGAUGGGGAUGCGUUCCAUUAGUUUGUUGGCGGGGUAACGGCCCACCAAGACUACGAUGGAUAGGGGUUCUGAGAGGAAGGUCCCCCACAUUGGAACUGAGACACGGUCCAAACUCCUACGGGAGGCAGCAGUGAGGAAUAUUGGUCAAUGGGCGAGAGCCUGAACCAGCCAAGUAGCGUGAAGGAUGAAGGCUCUAUGGGGCGUAAACUUCUUUUAUAUGGGAAUAAAGUUUUCCACGUGUGGAAUUUUGUAUGUACCAUAUGAAUAAGGAUCGGCUAACUCCGUGCCAGCAGCCGCGGUAAUACGGAGGAUCCGAGCGUUAUCCGGAUUUAUUGGGUUUAAAGGGAGCGUAGGUGGAUUGUUAAGUCAGUUGUGAAAGUUUGCGGCUCAACCGUAAAAUUGCAGUUGAAACUGGCAGUCUUGAGUACAGUAGAGGUGGGCGGAAUUCGUGGUGUAGCGGUGAAAUGCUUAGAUAUCACGAAGAACUCCGAUUGCGAAGGCAGCUCACUAGACUGUCACUGACACUGAUGCUCGAAAGUGUGGGUAUCAAACAGGAUUAGAUACCCUGGUAGUCCACACAGUAAACGAUGAAUACUCGCUGUUUGCGAUAUACAGUAAGCGGCCAAGCGAAAGCAUUAAGUAUUCCACCUGGGGAGUACGCCGGCAACGGUGAAACUCAAAGGAAUUGACGGGGGCCCGCACAAGCGGAGGAACAUGUGGUUUAAUUCGAUGAUACGCGAGGAACCUUACCCGGGCUUAAAUUGCAACAGAAUAUAUUGGAAACAGUAUAGCCGUAAGGCUGUUGUGAAGGUGCUGCAUGGUUGUCGUCAGCUCGUGCCGUGAGGUGUCGGCUUAAGUGCCAUAACGAGCGCAACCCUUAUCUUUAGUUACUAACAGGUCAUGCUGAGGACUCUAGAGAGACUGCCGUCGUAAGAUGUGAGGAAGGUGGGGACGACGUCAAAUCAGCACGGCCCUUACGUCCGGGGCUACACACGUGUUACAAUGGGGGGUACAGAAGGCGGCUACCUGGUGACAGGAUGCUAAUCCCAAAAACCUCUCUCAGUUCGGAUCGAAGUCUGCAACCCGACUUCGUGAAGCUGGAUUCGCUAGUAAUCGCGCAUCAGCCAUGGCGCGGUGAAUACGUUCCCGGGCCUUGUACACACCGCCCGUCAAGCCAUGAAAGCCGGGGGUACCUGAAGUACGUAACCGCAAGGAGCGUCCUAGGGUAAAACUGGUAAUUGGGGCUAAGUCAUA